GCACGGAACAUGCAGUCCAUGGUUUGGGAGUGUGAGGUAAUAUACUAGUACUGCAACUUUUCCCUCACAGCUGUGUGAGCAUGUUUAAAUUUAUGACUGAUUCAUUUAAAAUUUUGAAUAUUUAAUUUUAUGUUGUUAUUUUAUACUGCAUUAUCAUUCUACUUCAUUUGGUAGAAUCUUUAUAAUUUGUUAUUUUGAAUCAUGGAGUAUAUCUUCUUAGUUAAUUAUUGAAAUCUAGGCAGUUUGGUGUAGCGUCCGGGCGGGAGUCCGACACGGACGAAAUGUAAAAUGACCCCACGUGCAGUGUAUUUAUAAAUACACAGUGCAAACGGUAAAGUACUGUAUAGAAGUGAAACGAUAAACACGGGACUAGGAGACAGUGUAUUUUCACAAAGGUGAAAAGUGAAACUCGAAUCUGUGAGUAGGAUUCGAUCACGGAGCUCUGACGAAAUACCGGACUGGAACACGGGACUGGGACUGGAGAACAAUUGGCAGGAGUAGGCAGGAGUAGACAGGAUGGGCACUCGGACCGGAACACAAACAAACGGAACACAACUUGGGAAACAGGGGCAGUAGUGAGCAUCCUGUUUAGAGGCACUGCCGUCGAGCUCAAAGGACCCAGGUUUAAAACUUACCUCCUGCUGCAGUACUCUAGAGCAUGGUAUUUACCGUAAAUUACUCCAGUAAAGAUUGACCAGCUGUAUGAAUGGGAAAAUCAUUUUAAGUUCUUUUGAAGAGAAGUGUCAACUAAAUGUAAUGUUGUGUAUUAAUCUGAACAUCUAGGAUUUAGUGUUUUUUUGGUUCUUGUGCCAGUACAGUCAGAGCAAUGAGGUGUAUACAUUUUUGUGUAAUCUGUGUGUUUAUGUGGGUGUGCGUGUUCAUAGGAAGCAAAUUUGAUCCUUGUGGUGUCUGAUCUCUCGAGGUGGUCAUGUGAAGAAACAAAGGUGAGAUCUGUCCGUAGCUGUUUAAAGCUCGUCUCAUGCUAAACCUUUACUGGUAAUUCAAUAUUGUUUUAAGUCUCUCUUCUUCUGCCCCCUGUUUCACAUUCACCAACACACACAUAAACGCACACAAAAAACUCAUUUAGAUGUAUUGAACACAGAAAAAAAGUUAAAAGUUAAAAAACCUCCAGUUGUGGGUUUAUCAAUGUAGACAUUGGUAUAAACACCCAUGCGAUACAGCGACAGCACAAAGGUCACUGGCAGUGAAAUGUUGAAUUACCAAUAAAAAUUUCUA
rnacentral:lncRNA from 1 species